GUGGCUCCAAGACGCGCAGGCUCGCUCAUUUGCUCACACCCAGCAGGCAGAGAAGGCAGCAGCAGGCAGGACCGCCACCCUCCCAUGCAAAUCACCCCCGGGAGUGCAGCUGGGCUCCUCCCGCUCCUCCUGGGCAAUGCUCCUGGGGAGUCUGUGGGGAAGAUGCCAUCCAGGGCGCUGUGUGCUCUUCCUGGUCCUCGCCCUCCUGCUGGAUGUGGUCGGCCUGGUCUUUUUGCUGCUGGGGAUCUUGGCCUCCCUGAGUUACUGGGACUUCUUCGUCUACACAGGUGCCCUGAUCCUGGCUUUCAGCCUACUGUUCUGGGUCAUCUGGUAUUCCCUCAACAUCGAGGUGUCUCCUGAAAAACUGGACCUGUAGUUUGGUCAUGGGAAGAGGAGGUGAGACGCAGGUGCCGUACGCAGACAUGUCUGUGGACCUGAGGCUCUUGGGCAGCAACACGUUGCCGCUUCCACCUAGCAAGCCCCGCUGGGACGAGGUCCCAUCUGAUGGAGGAGAAUCAAUUCAAGGAGAUGCCCUCCCUUUACAGCACACCCUUUAACAGCAUCCAGGAGGAACGAGAGGCUGCAAUGCUGAGGCUUUCAAAGUAUUUACCAGGAUGCCCGAGAACGGCCGUGAUGCCAGGCUUCUGGCAGGUUCCAGGCUCCAUCACAAGCCCAGCAUCUCUGCACCAGAUCUGACAUGGCUGCUGCUGUCCCAGCUCUUUAUGAAGGGCCUGAGUAGCUAUCAAGUUUUUAUGGCAGGAGCCCUGCCGGGGGCUUAGACACCAAAAGAGAAGUCUCAUCCUUUGCAGUUCUUGUGAAGAAGAACUUUCUUCCCUUUAGAAAAACAAUGAGAACCAAGCCCAAGCACCAAAGUCCAAAUGGGAUCUCCUGCGAGCACAUGUCAAGCAGGAUUGUUGCUAUUUCUCCUCAUUGGCUCUUUGGACAGACUGUGUGAGCUCCUGGAGGGUUCCACUGUAUCUACCCUUUGAUACUGACCAGUUGGCACAUGCUGACAUAUUCCAAUGUGUUGAUUGCAAACGUGAACGUGCAGUCAGUGCUGUGGGCGGGAGGAUUCUCUCCUCCUCAGUGGGGCCACACUUUGCACUAUUAGUGCAGCUCCACUUGUUUGCACAGCCUGGCCAUGCAAUGGCUCAUAUUGAGCUUUUAGCCAACUGAAACUCCUUGUGUGUUUUUCUGACAAGCCAGCUAGGCCUCUGCUAUGCUGUCCUUGUGUCUUUCAUUUGAGACCUGAAGGGCAGGACUGUUCUUAUCUUAAGUUACAGCUGGUCGAGUCCAGCCCAAGGACAGCAACUCUGAGAGUCAGGCCUCAUAGGCUAACCACAUAGACGUGCUCUGCUUCGUGACCCACCAGAGCCCGACCUGCCCCACUAAUUUAUAUUUCCCCUGGUCUAAUUUUGUACUUUUUAUUUAUAUUUCGCCCUUAAAGUGUAUGUGUCUCUUAUAAGCUGCCUCCGAUCUUUCAUGGUACGAGGUGGUUACCUAAAUAAAGAAGGAGAUUUGGCCUUUGUUUUCAUGUA